AACGAACGCUGGCGGCACGCCUAACACAUGCAAGUCGAACGAGACCUUCGGGUCUAGUGGCGCACGGGUGCGUAACGCGUGGGAACCUGCCCUUAGGUUCGGAAUAACUCCCCGAAAGGGGUGCUAAUACCGGAUAAUGUCUUCGGACCAAAGAUUUAUCGCCUUUGGAUGGGCCCGCGUUGGAUUAGCUAGUUGGUAGGGUAAAAGCCUACCAAAGCGACGAUCCUUAGCUGGUCUGAGAGGAUGAUCAGCCACACUGGGGCUAAGAAGCGGCCCAGACUCCUACGGGAGGCAGGAGUGGGGAAUAUUGGACAAUGGGCGAAGGCCUGAUCCAGCAAUGCCGCGUGAGUGAUGAAGGCCUUAGGGUAGUAAAGCUCUUUUACCCGGGAUGAUAAUGACAGUACCGGGAGAAUAAGCUCCGGCUAACUCCGUG
rnacentral:rRNA from 1 species